AAAUUGAAGAGUUUGAUCAUGGCUCAGAUUGAACGCUGGCGGCAGGCCUAACACAUGCAAGUCGAACGGUAACAGGAAGCAGCUUGCUGCUUCGCUGACGAGUGGCGGACGGGUGAGUAAUGUCUGGGAAACUGCCUGAUGGAGGGGGAUAACUACUGGAAACGGUAGCUAAUACCGCAUAACGUCGCAAGACCAAAGAGGGGGACCUUCGGACCUCUUGCCAUCGGAUGUGCCCAGAUGGGAUUAGCUAGUAGGUGGGGUAACGGCUCACC
rnacentral:rRNA from 1 species